rnacentral:rRNA from 1 species
AAUGGCUUCGGCCCGUAAACCCCUGUCAUUUGCGAUCAAACGUCAUUAUUUAAAAGAUGAUGACCUGAUAGUAGCGAAAGAGGAAGGGACGGCUAACUCUGUGCCAGCAGCCGCGGUAAUACAGAGGUCCCGAGCGUUGUUCGGAUUCACUGGGCGUAAAGGGUGCGUAGGUGGCGAGGUAAGUCGGAUGUGAAAUCUCGGAGCUCAACUCCGAAAUGGCAUUGGAAACUACCUUGCUCGAGGGUUGGAGGGGGGACUGGAAUACUUGGUGUAGCAGUGAAAUGCGUAGAUAUCAAGUGGAACACCAGUGGCGAAGGCGAGUCCCUGGACAACUCCUGACACUGAGGCACGAAAGCUAGGGGAGCAAACAGGAUUAGAUACCCUGGUAGUCCUAGCCGUAAACGGUGCAUGUUUGCUGUAAAAGGAAUCGACCCCUUUUGUGGCGUAGCCAACGCGUUAAACAUGCCGCCUGGGAAGUACGGUCGCAAGAUUAAAACUCAAAGAAAUUGACGGGGGCCUGCACAAGCGGUGGAGUAUGUGGCUCAAUUCGAUGCAACGCGAAGAACCUUACCUGGCCUUGACAUGUACGUAGUAGAAGGGUGAAAGCCUGACGAGGUAGCAAUACCAGCGUACACAGGUGCUGCAUGGCUGUCGUCAGCUCGUGUCGUGAGAUGUUGGGUUAAGUCCCGCAACGAGCGCAACCCC